ACCAUUUUUAUACAACAUUAUAGUACAAUCGACCCGCCUGAGCUCCACAAGCUCCGUUUGCCAUUUGGACAUUCUGACAUUUACAGACUCUCCACUGUCUUACAACGGCGACAUAAAAACGCAGCGAGCCGGGAGGAAAUGUUACAGGAAAGCCUUCAUCUGUGAGCGGCAUGCUGACAUUUCACUGGAAACCAACGACGACCGGCGUUUUUGUUCUCUGAUUAAAGCAACGAGGCCCUGGAAACCACGCUAUGCUGUGAAUAUGGGAUGGUGGGCUAGGGCACUGUGCCCAUAUCCGGAAGGCUGUGGGCUCAAAUCCCACGACUGGCAAGUAAUCAUAUCAAUCAGGCCCUUGAGUAAAGAUGCUAACACUCAUUGCUCCAGGGUCUGCCGGACCCUACUCGCUGAUCCCGACUCGUACGUCACUUUGGAUAAAUGUGCCUGCUACAUAAAUAAAUGUAAAUGAAUGCAUCCACCUAUAGGAGAUGUCAGACACAACACAGAGCCAGCCAAAGGCAUGACGCCAUUAGUUUGCUUUUCUUAUGUGAACAAUCAAGGUGUAGUAUUAUUAAGCAAGCUCCAGGAACAACGAAUGGCCAAUCAGAACAGAGGAAUGGAACGGAGAGCUCUGGUUUAUGGUCUUAAUAUACAACAAGUGAGCCUUGCUUCAUCCUUCCUUUACAGAAUGAUAUGCUAAUAUGCUCAGGCUGUGCGAAUCAGAGGUUAUGAUUCACCGGGGGGGGGGGAUCUGCAUGCUGGCAUUGCCGUUACCAGCUAGUCACUCCGUGCUAAAGGGAGAAUCACGUUAAGAUUAAAGUCAUUAUUCAUUUACAUUCACACGUCUCACAAAUUCUUUAUUUAAAAGGGACUUAAGCAUUUUUUAGAUUACGCACAGAAAGUGAAACAGCAACCUGAAAUGUUAACGCACACGGCUAACAUCUUCACUGAACUUGCUCUCGGACCAUUUUUGCCAGAACGUUCUACUGAGCAGUGACAUCCUACGCAGGUCCGGAGCCAGCCAGCUUCCUAAAGACGUUUUUUUCUUCUUUUUUUUUUUAUAAGGAGUGUCAGAAAUACCCCAGGCAGGAUACGCGUCACAUUUUGUCAGAUUUCAAUAUCGGCCUGAUUGCUGCUCUAUUUUCCCACACGCUGGAACGUCGCGAGCGUGACGGAGCGCAGCGAGGCGGCUCCCCGGGAUGGACGUGGUGCUAAACAAGACCGAAGGUCUGCCAGGUCCCAGGUCACCAACCGGACCCCCACUGCAGAGAGAGGGAGCAGCACAGCAUUGGGAUCUGAUCAAACUGAAAGCCCUUUAAGGACACCAUGUCGGGCCGGUCGAACCUAACCCAGAUCCUGGACCACACAGCGCUGAGGG